CAAAGCACAAAGGGAGGGCCAGGGAGAGAUGAGGUCAGCCAGGCUGGCAAGCCGGGCUCUGUGAUGCCCUACAAAGGAAUUUGGAUCAGUUUCUUGGUCAUGGGUGGGGGAGCAGGGAUAGCAGGAGAGGAGGUGGGGCAUGAUGAAGUCACCCUGGUUACCAUUGGAGAAAGGAUUAGAGGCAAAGGAGACCUGAGGCAGGUAGAUCAGUGGGAUCAGUUCAGAAGGUGGGGUGCAGGUACUGGGGUGCCGGUGGGCAGAAUCAAGGAAGCUAUGGCAAGACGAGAAGUAAGUCCUUGGGGUGGCUGUUGGGUAGUCAUCUUCAGGAGGUCUGGUGUGUACAGGGCUCUGUGUGGGGCAGCAGGACCCUAGUUCUGGAACUACUGGCUAAAAUCAAGGUUGAGGGGUCAAGAACAGGUGGGAACCUGGUGCUGAGAUUGGGACCCAGGAUCCUGAACACGGAACUGAGGGGCAGGGAGGUGUGGUGGUUUUGAGCACCCUGAGAUGGGACAGGUCACCUUCACUUCCAGUGCCACACCCGCAAGCUUUGUGAACUCGGGCCAACACCUCAACCUCAGUGUCCUGGUUUGUGGAAAGGAAACACCAGACCUAACUCAUUGGCUGGAUGAGGACUGAAUAGCAAACAGGUGUGAAAUGUACGGCAUAGCAGGAACAGUUGCUUGGUUGCUACGGCCCAAAAGACAUGAGCUAGACCACACAGAGCAAGGCCCUAGCCAGAAAGGUUGGUGGGGUUUCAGCAACCAGAUUCUCUUAAAGCUAGCUCCCUUCAACUUCCAUUUUAAGCCUUGGGUAGGUCAAGGCCUGACUUUGUAGAUAUUAAGUAACCGUAGUAUUGGGAAAGAAAUUGGCCAAGGAGUUGGGCAGGGCAUUGGAUCUGGUGCUUCUCUGUGCAGUUAGGGACUCCUUCUUAUAUCUCUGGCAUUUGUUCUCCCCUGAGAUCUGCCUCUUAUCUCCCAGUCUUAGGCAUUUCUGCCAUCUCAAAGUCUAGGGAGGCCACCAGAAUUCAGAACCUUACUGCCCAUUCUGGGUCGAGUAUUCCUGGUAGAGCUGCCCUACCUAAGCCCAUCAAGGCCCCCAGGAGAGUCAGAUGAGGAUGAGAGUUAUCUGGCCUUUUGAGUAAGGUCUUGGGAAAAGAGAAGAAUUCUACAGGCCAGACUCAGACUGACUCUCCACUGACACCAGCAGCGUCAUCCAUGAAGCCACCUUUGAGCGAUGGAGAGGAAUGGGGGAUGGGCAAGAUCACUGCAAGGUUGGCCAAAAGCCUGGGUUGGCCUUCUGCUGAGAAAGGCAGGCUGACAGGAGAAAGCCAGGUUGCCCCCAGCUCCUUCCUCAGGUCCUGGUCCCUCCAGCAGCAGGGAAGCGGUGAGCUCAUCGUUUAGCAUCACUCCAAACAAAGGUGGUGGUUGGGGCUGGCAGAAGGCAGCUCAGCUUCCUGCGGCCUGGCCUGGCUCUGCUCCUGGCCUGCUGCUCCACCUGGACAAGCUGUUCAGGGUCUCUCUCCUGACCAGGCCUCUCCUUGGGACCAUCCACAGGGACCUCAGCAGGGAGCCAGGGAGCCCCUGGGUAUUCUCAGCCAUUGUCCUUGGCUUGUGCCCAUUGUGUGAGUAGUGAAAUCCCUUAAAGGAAAGAGGCCUGUGGGUUUCUUCCCAGGACCAAAAGGAAGAGAAGAGCUGAGAAGCCAGCAUCCUACUACACAGAAUCAGGAGAGCUUUGGGGACCAGAGGGAAGGAGAGGGGAGGGCAGCCAGACUGAGCUUGUGAGGGAACACAGAGGGAUGGGGAAGGAAGUGGUCAGCUAUGGAGAAGAGCCUGGUGCCUCAUGGAGAGAAGGCUUUUGGGGUCUUCACUCCCCAAAGGGUGGGAGGCAGAAAGCAGAUUGGCUUCUGCAGCUCUGCCAUGUCCUAGCAGUGUGGCAUUUUAAGAGCUCUUCUCUGCAGCCAAGAAAAUAAUGGCUGCCUUCCUCAUAAAAACAGGGACAAGGAUUAAUGAGUCAAGGUAAACAAAGUGCCAUACCAGGUCCUGGCCCAGGCGGAUCAUUACUCAUUACCACUGUUGUGUUGAGCUGUGUGAGAGGACCAGCGUCCCCAAUUGUGGAAGUCUCUGGGCCCUGUAGCAUGACAGACUGCUUGGCUUCUCCAGUGGACCUUGCCUCUUAGGAUGGACUUCUUCGUUGGGGACCCCCAUCUUCCUGACUCCAGCAGCACCCCCACAAGGCAUCUCUCUUCCCCUCUGCCUUCUCAUCAGCGGUGUCCCCUGCACCUAGAAGACCCUCCUUCCUCUGAAGUUCACCCCGGUGCUCAUCUCCCAGGAAACCAGCCUGGCUCUCCCAGCUGGCCGAGAAUGCUGCCUUCUCCACUCUGCCAGCAUUUUAAUCUCAGGCAGCUUUAGGUGCUGGCCACUUUCCAAUUUUCAUUAAUUACAGCCAUGGGUACGUAUUCCGCCCCAAGACUGAGUUUCUUGGGGGCAGUAGCCCCAGAAAGUGGCUCAAAGUUGCCCGAGUCUGACAUGGCAAGGUGACAGCAUCCGGGAGGGAAAGCACCAAAACUACUGUUUUCCAAGUACUGUCCCUGGACCACCUGCUGCAGACCCCGUGGGGACUGUUAAAGAUGUGGCAUCUCGCUUUCACAUCUGGCUCUGCCGCCUUCCAACUGUGUGACUUUCUCAAUACCCCCAGCAGAGGGUCAUGUUGUCAUUUGUAAACCGGAAGAUUAUAAUCCCUCCCUUCCCCACCUCCCCCGUGGGGGAUGAGUUAGUGAGCUAAGUGUGGAAAGGCUCUGUCCCGUGAAGCAAGGUAUGGUCAUGAAGGCUCUUUCUCUAGGAAGGAAUACUGAGAGCUGGGUCCCCCCUGGCAGAACUGAGUGGGUAUCUGCUGACUUCACUGGUUGACUCAUUUGAAAAAAAUGGGGACAGAGAAAGUUCAAUGAAAAUGGCUUUAAGGUGUGGUGGGCUAGACUGCCCCUUUGUACACUUCAGUGGAGUAGGGAAUGAGAACCACAUGCACAAUUCAGUGGCAAUCUGGAGAGGGGUGUGUGUGUGUGUGUGUGUGUGUGUGUGUGUGUGUGUGUGUGUGUGUGUGGUGUGUGUUGUAUGCAUGUGUGCAGGCAUGCUUACCUAUGGGGGCAUGCCUGUAGAAGAAUUCUAUUGCUCUCUACACUUUCAUGUAUUUACUUGAAACAGUGUCUCUCAGUAAACCCAGUGUUUGCUGUUUUGGUUAGACCAGCUAGCCAGGGAGCCCAUAGUAUCUGCAUAAUUCUGUCCCCGGUUUGGGGUUACAGACACACAUUGCUACAGCUGGCUUUUAUGUGGGUGUUAGGCCUCAAAACUGAGGUCCUCAUGCUCGCACAGGAGCGCUUCUCCCACUGAGCCACCCCGGACAGGGUCUCUGGAUCUCCAGCUGGUCUGGAACUUACUGCGUAGCCCAGGCUGGCUUCAGAACUACAACAGUCUUCCUGCCGCCUCAUUCUCGUGAGUGCUGGAAUUACAGGUGUGAGUCUCGGAAAUCUUUUAAACCCGGGGGCAGUGAGGACUGUGAUUCAGGAGGUUUGCGUCCAGAUGUAGACUACACUGUUUCCUUCCUUCCUUCCCUCCUUCCUUCCUUCCUUCCUUCCUUCCUUCCUUCCUUCCUUCCUUCCUUCCUUCUUCCUUCCUUCCUUCCUUCCUUCCUUCCUUCCUUCCUUCCUUUCUUCCUUUCUAUUUUUAAACAGGACAGCUUGAAUCAUACGUGUUUCUGAUGUAGUGAACAGAACAUAUCAAUACUACCAAGGAAAGAUCCUGUCCAAAAGUGAACCUACGCCUCAUCAGGCUUGCUUUGUUCUGCAAUACUCAGGAAUCAUGAGGAGAGAGACAGGUGAAAGGGUCUCUCCUUGGACCUGGAGCUUCCUGACUAGGCUAGGCUGCUUUGCCAGCAAGUCCCAGGCAUCCCCCUGUCUCUGCCUCUCCAGUGCUGGGAUUACAAGCGAUUGACACCCUACCUGGCUUUUUUGUAUGAGUUCUGGGAAUCAAACUCAGGCCUUCAAGCUUACAUGACAAGCACUUUACCAAUGCUCUGGCAUUAGAUUUUAAGAAGUUGUUAACUUUGUUGAGUUUGAUACUGAUUUUGUGGUUAUAUUAAAAUUCCAUCUUUGUUAGAGUAGCAAACUAAAGUAGCCAUAUAUAAAAUGAUAUUAUACCUG